AUUGAACGCUGGCGGCAUGCUUUACACAUGCAAGUCGAACGGCAGCGCGGGGGCAACCCUGGCGGCGAGUGGCGAACGGGUGAGUAAUGCAUCGGAACGUAUCCUGUAAUGGGGGAUAACGUAGCGAAAGUUACGCUAAUACCGCAUACGCUCGAGAGAGGAAAGUGGGGGAUCGCAAGACCUCACGUUAUAGGAGCGGCCGAUGCCCGAUUAGCUAGUUGGUGGGGUAAAGGCCUACCAAGGCGACGAUCGGUAGCUGGUCUGAGAGGAUGAUCAGCCACACUGGGACUGAGACACGGCCCAGACUCCUACGGGAGGCAGCAGUGGGGAAUUUUGGACAAUGGGCGAAAGCCUGAUCCAGCCAUGCCGCGUGCGGGAAGAAGGCCU
rnacentral:rRNA from 1 species